rnacentral:rRNA from 1 species
AUGGCGGAGCCCUUCCCCACCAGCAACCCGAGAGAUCUCAGAAUCAUAGCCCAUGUGCUCUUUGGUCUUCCCCGACUGCCAGGCGGUGGAGGAGGCGCGGUGCGCGAUCGAGAGGCUCGUCGCCCUGGCGGUGGUGUGGAGGGCAGGGGCGACGCGCCGCCGGGGAGCGACCACGGGGUCACAGGAGAUGCCGUCACAUCCAGUGUCCCUUCCGUACCAGAGGCGGCCCGUGGCCCCGAUCUGGAGGGCCUCGCCGGCCGAGGAGCAGCUAAAGGGCUUCCAUCAGAGGCACGUCGCCGCGGUCGCGUGGAGGGCAGGGGCGCCGCGCCGCUGGGGAGCGACCACCGGGUCACAGGAGAGGCCGUCACAUCCAGUGCCCCUCCCGUAUCUGAGGCGGCCCGUGGCGACGAUCUGGAGGGCCUCGCCGGCCAAGGAGCAGGCGUAGGCGAAGACUUCUCCUCCUGCAGCAGUAUGAGAGGACCGGGUCCCCAAGAGGAGGCUCCUGCCCCAACAGCUAGAGUCGGAUUGGAUCCUGGAUCCUGCAGCCAGGAAGAAAUGGGGGGUGGAGAGGAUCUUGUGUCUCAGAAUCUGGUCCACGAUCUCACUCUUGUCAGCACCAACAAUGUUACCGCGGCUCUCAGUAAGACCAGCUCUCCAGUUUCUCACUUCAGAAUCGACUCCAUUCUGUUUGUCACUGAGCAGUUAGACGAUUGGUUUAAGUUGCUGGUGACCAAGAAGGUCAAAGAAGUUGUAGUGGUAAAUCGCAGAUGGCCCAAGACAGUGGUUGAUUUCCCAAUCAACGGCUUAGACAACACUGGAGUCCAGCAGUUGAGCAUAUGUUUCUGCAAGAUUCCGGAUGCAUUGGUGUAUGACAUGGACACGCUGUUGGUGCUCGACCUAUCCCAUUGCUACAUCAGCAAAGAAACUCUUCAUGAUAUGGUUUACAGAUGUAAAAAAUUGAGAGAGAUACAUCUGGGUUAUCACAAGGAAUCUGUUCUUGUUUCUUCAGGAACUCUGCAAUUGAUACAGGUCUGGUUCUCGCAAAUGGAUUUAAUAGAGGUCCGGGCACCUCUACUCCAAAAAAUCACAGUGUCAGCUGUGCCAAAGGGCAAGGAUAAGCUCAGAGCACGCCUUCAGGGAUGUUCAGAACUACAUACUCUAGUUGGCAAUAUAUCUGCUCAGGCGAUUCUGAUAGAAGGCCAUGAUAUAAGAAUGGGGACCAAGUUGAUGACCACAUUGAAGAAUCUCCAUAUUGGUGUAUCCCUGUCCAAAGAAAAAGAACGAAAGCACCUCUUAAAUAUCUUCAAAUACUUCCCCUAUCUUGAGAAGUUAACACUAUGGCGCAUGGACGAUAUAUCAAGCGAUGAAGCCGUGGAGGCUGCAAUUGAUGACUGGGCAGAUGAACUCAGGGCAUUUGAGAUCAUGCGCCAUCUCUGUUUGUUGAAGUUUCAAGGAUUUAAAGGCAGAGACUUUGAAGUUUGUAUUGUUGAAGCAUUUCUCAAGCUUUCCACGUCGCUUAGGGACCUUGUAAUUGAAUCUGACACGGAAGAUACGUUCGAGAGGGCGAAAAGUGCUUUUAAGCCGCCAAGUCAAGUAAAUGUCUCGUACCAGAAGUCAAACGUUGCUGCAUUGGAAUAA